GAACGACUCAUAGGGCGGCUCUUAUUUGGCAUUUCUAUAUACUAACUCCAAUGACAUGCCAAAGGAGAGUUGCCCUGUGAGUGAUUU
rnacentral:pre_miRNA from 1 species